GUAGGUGGCAAGCGUUGUCCGGAAUUAUUGGGCGUAAAGCGCGCGCAGGCGGUUCUUUAAGUCUGAUGUGAAAGCCCACGGCUCAACCGUGGAGGGUCAUUGGAAACUGGAGAACUUGAGUACAGAAGAGGAAAGCGGAAUUCCACGUGUAGCGGUGAAAUGCGUAGAGAUGUGGAGGAACACCAGUGGCGAAGGCGGCUUUCUGGUCUGUAACUGACGCUGAGGCGCGAAAGCGUGGGGAGCAAACAGGAUUAUAUACCCUGGUAGUCCACGCCGUAAACGAUGAGUGCUAAGUGUUAGGGGGUUUCCGCCCCCCUUAGUGCUGCAGCUAACGCAUUAAGCACUCCGCCUGGGAGUACGGCCGCAAGGCUG
rnacentral:rRNA from 1 species